rnacentral:rRNA from 1 species
CAGUCGCCGCGGGAAAACGUAGGUGGCAAGCGUUGUCCGGAAUUAUUGGGCGUAAAGGGCUCGCAGGCGGUUUCUUAAGUCUGAUGUGAAAGCCCCCGGCUCUACCGGGGAGGGUCAUUGGAAACUGGGAAACUUGAGUGCAGAAGAGGAGAGUGGUAUUCCACGUGUAGCGGUGAAAUGCGUAGAGAUGUGGAGGAACACCAGUGGCGGAGGCGACUCUCUGGUCUGUAACUGACGCUGAGGAGCGAAAGCGUGGGGAGCGAACAGGAUUAGAUACCCCCGUAGUCCCUGUCUCUUAUAC